AAUCAACACACAGAAAAUGGUACACAGCUUCCUUAGGAGGCAACGGAGACCCAGAAUUUCUAAAUGACCUAAGAAAUUGAUGCCUAUGUAUAGAAGGCGUCAGGGCCCAGAGAUUGUUUGCAUACACAGAAGUCAUAAAUGGAAAACUCCACUUUCAGAAAAGGAGAAUUGAUCACACCAGGGGGAAUGCUUACAUAGAGGAGACACCAAGUGAAGACAGUGAGAAGGUUGCCAGCCGUAAGCCCAGGAGAGAGGCCUCAGAAGAAAUCAA